GAGAAUUGUACCCACAGGCAGAGCUGCUGCUGCUCCUGCAGCUACUCUGUGGAACUGCUUUGCCCUCCAGUGCCCACACCCAGCAUUGACACCCUCAGGAAAGGCCCAGAGCUGCCCCAAACCAGAGCCUGCAGCACAGCUUUGCCCCCUGAUGUCAACAGAAGAGGAACAAAAGGUUUAAAGCAGGAGACUACAGACCCACCAAAGAAUUUUCUAUCAACAGAGCACACCUUUGUAAUAUUUAUCAACACUGUCACUUCUGCCUGUGGCCCAAGAGCCACAAGAAGGGAUUUUGGCAAUGGGCAGAGAGAAUCCAGAGCAGCAGCAGCUGGAACAGCCCCCCGGGCAAAGCAAACCCUGGCACCUCCACCCUGCUCCCAGGGGUGCUCCUGGCAGGGGCCUCAUUAAACACAGCCCAGAUGCUGUCCCUGGGCAAUGCCAGGUGGAAGCACCUCAAUCCUCCCCUGUGGUUUCUGUGCCAGGGGCUUGGACCAAAAUUUGUCCCAUCGACAGAGAAGAAACCCCUGCUUAACUCAAGCUGGAAGAGAACAGUGUCCAGAACCAGGAAAAAACUGUGUGAACACCAAAGCCAAUCCUGAACUGGCUCAGUGCAGAACUUUGCCAGCACCAAUUGAGAAUCCUUUGUAAGAGCAGAGCCUUCUCUGCAGCCUGUGCUUUCCAUCAAACACAAAGCUCAGCUCAGGGAGGCAGAGCAGAAAUGCAGGAGAGCUUGGGACCUGUGCUGGGUGUCUACACUGAGGGUAAACGAAAGCAGUGGCAUAGCCAGAAUAUGCAGUAAAAGCUCUGAGUUUGGGGGAUUUUCAGGUGGUUCAUUUUCUGUUGAUGCCAAGCCAGCUUUGCAGCAGGUGCAGGUCUCACAUGGGGGGUCUGUGGCUAAAGGUUUGUGGCAGCAACUGCUUGAAAACACCAAAGUACUUCUGUAUGAGCUCUCCCUGUCACUCAUUUAUUUCCCAGGUUAAAAUAAGCUAAAGUUUCUCUCUCCUGUGCACAAACUAUGGAAAGAAGGAAAAUCAGAGUCACCUCGUGCUUGGGAACAUUGCAAGAAGUGUAAACAGGGAUAUUUUCACUAUCUGAUCACAAAAAAAAAAAAAAAAAGGAA